rnacentral:rRNA from 1 species
AUUGAACGCUGGCGGCAGUCCUAACACAUGCAAGUCGAACGAGUGGCGGACGGGUGAGUAAUGUCUGGGAAACUGCCUGAUGGCGGGGGUUAACUCCUGGAAACGGUAGCUAAUACCGCAUCCCAUCGGAUGUGCCCAGAUGGGAUUAGCUAGUAGGUGGGGUAAAGGCUCACCUAGGCGACGAUCCCUAGCUGGUCUGAGAGGAUGACCAGCCAAACUGGAACUGAGAAACGGUCCAGACUCCUACGGGAGGCAGCAGUGGGGAAUAUUGCACAAGGGGCGCAAGCCUGAUGCAGCCAUGCCGCGUGUAUGAAGAAGGCCUUCGGGUUGUAAAGUACUUUCAGCGGGGAGGCGUUACCCGCAGAAGAAGCACCGGCUAACUCCGUGCCAGCCGCCGCGGUAAUAC